UUUUUUUACAAACCAAAGGUUUUUAGUUUUUUUUAUUUAUUAUUUUGUUGGCUUUCAUUAAGAAGCCGGGGAGCAUUUUCAGUGAGGGUGGGGGGACCUCCCAUGGACGUGUGGUGAUCCUUCAGCAGCCGGUCCAUGACGGUGGUUGAGGAUGGAGAUUGAUGAGGGGUGCACAGGAAAGCAGGUAGAGGACUGGCAGGAGAAAGAUAUUUUUCCAAAGGGUAAGAAAAAAAGGAAAAGAAGGAGCAAGGGAGUUUUUUACAGAGAUGAACAGAGGAAGAAGACAACAGGUUGCUAGAGGCCAAGCAAAUUUUUGUUUAAAGGGAGUCGCUCAGGUUUAACUAUUUCACAUUUUGGGAUCUCCAUUUUCGUAGCUACAUUACGCUUCUUGCUGGUAUUUAGAUACUUGCUUUGACUAUCUAACGAGUUAAGCGUGAUUAUGAUUUUUUUUUUGUUUACUUGGUCCCUGUUUUCUCCCCUGUAUGAGUUGCAUGUUCUUUAUGCUUUGUGUUUGUGUGAUUAUUAUGCUAUUCGUUUAUGUGACAAGACCAUUCGGACCCUCUCACGCAUGCUCAUCGAACCUGUUAUUCACUUCUCAUUCACAUGCAUGAAGCCCCAUGCACAAGGCCGCCUCCAUCCCGCUCCAUUUUAAACCUUCAUACCCAUCUUAUCCUCUUUCAUGCUCAUUGUACCCACUGCUGGCUGCCCAUUCCACUCAUCACGCCCGUUUUCUCCAAUAAUCAUACCCAUUGCAAAUACCUUCAUCUCACCACCUUCUCCUUACCACCGACACCCUGAACAGAGUUGAACGCUUAAAGGAUGCGCACUCUUUUCCGCAUAUACUGCUGGUGAUGUAACGACAACUAAACAGGUUGGAAAGAAAAAUCAAAUAAAAGUUGUUUCGGGUGAACAUGCCGCUAAUAUGAAAAUCCUCCGCGCUCUUGCUGAGUAUUUAUGUUCGAAAGACAACCCGGAACUUCGUUUCAGGGUGAUUAUGGCCUUGGGUUUCUUGGUUGGGGCUAAGGCUCUAAAGUCCAGCUGUUGUACUAGUUGGAUAUGGGAUAGCUCGUUCGGAGGCUUCUGUUUUAAUGAAUUGCGGACCGUUGUGUUCUCUAAGGUGGGCAUUGCAACUUGGAGAUAAAAGUCUUGGUCUGCACAAGAGAUCUAAUACCAAGUGAUGCAGUCUACUAAAUGGUGCUAUAUAAUUAAACUAUGGCGACCCAAAUGCCCAACCUGCUGGAAGCCUAGUUGCCCAAAAAGUUGGUUGGACCCAUGUCCAACCUUGGGCCCAUAUCCAAAUGUCCCCCAUCUUGCAUGGCCACCCUUGGCCCACAUCCCCAACGACCCAUACCCUUUUAUUCUUAUAUUUAUUUAUCUAUUCAAAUUAUUCAUCUUUGAUAUCAAGGUGUAAUUUUCCAUUUGUUUUAACUUCCAAAUUUAACUUUCAAAAUCCUCAUUUCCAAAGUUUAAUUUCUCAAUUUUUUUUUUAUAAAAAAAUCUGAUUUUCAAAGUUUCCAUUUUUGAAUAAUUUUCAAAUUCUCAAUUUCCAGAGUUAGUUUUCAAAAUUCAAAAUUUUAAUUUAAUCUCGAAAGCUCCAAUUUUUAGGCUUAAUUUCCAAAACUUCAUUUAUUUAUUUAUUAUUUUUUAAAAAAAGAAUUAAUUAAUUUUCAAAUAAUCUCCAAAACUCUAAUUUAUGAAAUUCUGAUUUAUUUCAAAUUUAAUUUCUAAAAUUCUAAUUCAUUUCAAAUACAAUUUUCACAUUCAUUUAUUUAAUUAUUAUUAUUAUUAUUAUUAUUAUUUCUCAAAACUUCGUCUUCCAAGUUUAAUUUUCAAAUCUCAAAAAUUCCAAUUUUCACAUUCAUUCGUUUAAACAUUAUUUUUGUUAUUAUUAUUAUUUUUUUAAAACUCCAAAAUCAUUAAAGUUCAAUUCUUCAAAAAUCUGACUUCCAAAUUUAAUUUUCAAUCUAAAAAAUUCAGCUAUUCACUUUCACUUGUUUAAGUAUUAUUUUUGUUAUUAUUAUUAUUAUUCCAUAUUUAUUUAUUUAUCUCUUUUAAAAGUUCCAAUUAUUAAAUUUCAAUUUUUCAAAAAUUUGACUUCCAAAUUUAAUUUUCAAUAUAAAAAAUUCUACUAUUCACUUUCAUUCGUUUAAAUAUCAUUUUGGUCAUUAUUAUUAUAAUUCCAUUUAUUUAUUUAUUCAUUUCUUUUAAAAAUUCCAAUCAUUAAAGUUCAACUCUUCAAAAAUCUGAAUUCCAAAUCUACUUUUCAAUCUCAAAAAUUUCUGUCACGCCCCAAGACCCACUCUAAUGGCAUGACGAUCAUUUUACACUUCAAACCCGAAGACUUACAAUGUAACCUGACCCAAAAAAUUAUCUUGUAAUCGAAAGUUACCAAUUAUCAAAUACCUAUUCAAAGUAGCGGAACAAAAUCUAAAAUCCUCAAAAUUCAAUUCCAAAACUAAAACAUCCAUUAUCCAAAAUCCAUUGUCCAAAUAUUUGCAAACUUAAAUAAUUCAAGUACUAAAACAAAUUUCAAAAUCUCCAAAACUCAACUUUGAACUAACAUAAAAUUUAAAGGAUCAAUAUCCAAAUAGCUUCCAAAUACCAAAAGAUCCAAAUGAACAUAACUAACGGUUAAACAAAAACCAACAUAAAAUCCUAAGUCAAAUCCUAAUGAUGACCAUUCCUUAGCCUAACCAUCACUCCUCACCCGAACUAAGGGUACCUGAAAAGUAGUCAACAAAUAGGAAUGAGCUCACAACCUAAUAAGGAACAUUAAUGCAGUCCAUGGAUCAAAUAUUUCAAAUUCACUUGCAAAAUAGGAGACAUUGUAAUCAAUCAUUUUCAUAAACCUGUGAGUUAAUUUUAUUUUAUUUUUGCCAAUACAUUCAAAAUUUCUAACUAUAUGCCUUUAUUUCUGAUUCAAACAUUUUCAUAUCAAAUUCAGUCAAAACAUUCCAAUAAUUUAUUUACUUUGGUCAUCAAACAUCAAAGGGUGCCCAAUUAGGUGAGACUUUUCAAAUGGGUGGCUAGCCUCAAAUUGUUCAUUUAAGGUGGACAGAACCAAACACUACUAGUACUAGUAACCUUUAACCAAACCCCUAGAGGCUGGGGUCCAAAUCAAUUACAUUCCCCACCAAGAAAUGUAAAGGUCAAUUAUUAUAUUCCGUUGACAAAGGUCAAAAAGUCAGAAGUUAACUAUUAUAUCCUGUUGACAAUGACCAAACAAACCAGAGUCAAAAACUUAUUUCAAUUAUUCGAAUUUGCAAAACAUAAUAUCUCCACAUUUUUCUAUUGUAAACAAAAUAUAAAGUUCUAACAUACUUUUCAUACAAAACAUAUUUGAUCCAUGCAUAAAGCGAAUAUUAAUUCAAAAUAUUUCCAAAAGAUGUAUAUAAAAAUUUGUUUCUAACAAAAUAAUAACUACAUUAAUUUCCCUUACCUCAAAAGAAGUCCUCAAAAACUUUGGAGAGAAAAUAAUCCUAAAAUUCUACUCUUCACCUAACAAAAUAUAAGAUGAAAUAAUUAUUACUAUUUAUCUAUAAUUUAACUAAUCUAUUCCUUAUUUAAAUAAUUUAAUAAAUUCCCAAUUUGUUUCUAAUAACACAAAUCCUUGCCAUUAUUAAAUAAUAUAGUACUCAGUACUCAAGUACCCAUCAAAGUCUAACAAUACGGAGUCCUGCUACUAUUAAAUAUUACAUACCCAAGUAUCCAUCAAAGUCUAAUAAUAGAGUAUGUGAAAAUACACCAACUAGAUUUCAACCAUGAAAUCCUUACAAAAAAAAAAGUGGAUGCACAGUUCCCACACGCAUGCAACCAGUGCACACGCGUUUUUUUUUUUUUUAAAAAAAAAAACUUAAGAUCUCCCAAAUUCUAAUAAUAAAUCAAAAUAUUAAAUUUUCACUAUUUGAUAUUAAAACGAAUUAAAAAAUAAUAAUAAACUAACCAUAAUCUAGAUUUGGGUUUUCCAAAAAAAAUAUCUUAUGUGCUUAAAAAUUAACUAAUGAAUCUAAAAUAUUAAUCUAGGGGUUAGAAUCUUACUUAUAGAGAUAUGUUCUUCAAACCCUGAAAUCCAACUCCAAUCUUACGUUCUUAGGAACUCUCUGCAAACAGAAACGUGAUUCAGAAAAGAACAGGAAUAAUAGAAUUCUAAUUUAUACCUAGGGUAUUUAUUCGUAAAAUUACAUUUUCACCCAUAUUCCUUUUAUUAAAUUAAUUAAUUAAUUAAUUAAAUUAUUAAAUUAAUAAUUGCCUAAAUUACCCCUAAAUGUAAAAACUUGGGCGUUACAAUUCCACUAUUCACAUUCAUUUGUUUAAUGAUGAUUUUCGUUAUUAUUAUUAUUCCAUUUAUUUACUUAUUCACUUAUUCAUAUAUUUAAAAUCCCAUCUCUUUCCAAUCUUUAAAUUCAACUUCUAAUUUCUAAAAAUUCUAAUUUUCGCAAUUAUUUAUCCAAUCGUUAUUAUCUUCAUUAUUCUAUUCAUUUAUUCAUUCACUUGUUCAUUUAUUUAAAAUUCUAUCUCUAAAUAAUUCUUUAAAUUUCCAAUCCCUAAGUUCAAUUUCCAAUUUUCGAGAUCCUAACUUCCGCAAUUAUUUAUCCAAUAAUUAUUAUUUCAUCAUUAUUAUUAUUCCAUUCACUUAUUCAUUUACUUAAAAUUGCGUCUUUAAAUAAUUCUUCAAAAUUUUGAUUUCCAAAUUUAGUUAUCUGAAAUUCCAAUUUUCCAAUUUCCGAACUUAAUUUUCAAUUCCUAAUAUUCUAAUUAUCGUAUUUAUUCUGUUACUUACUUUUACUUAUUAUUAUCAUUAUUAUUAUCAUUUUAUUCAUUUAUUUCUAAAAAUUCUACCUUCGAAUGAUUUCCAAUAUUUUCAAUUUUUAUACUUCAAUUUUCUUAUUUUCUACUUCUCAAAUAAAUUUCAAUUAUGAUUUCUUUCAAAAUUUAAUUUCCAAAGUCCCAAUUUUCGUAAUUUAAUUUUUUUUUUAAAUCCCAAACUCUCAAAUAAUUUUCAAAAUUCCAAUUUCCUUCAAAUUCAAUUUCUAAAAUUCACAUUCUUACAUUUAAUUUCUAAAAAUCCAAUUUUCAAAUAAUCUCUAAGAUUCAAAUUUUCAAAAUAAAUUUCAAAAAUCAAGUUUUCCCUCGAACAAUUUUAAUUUCUGUUUGGUGAUGUGAGUGAUAUGUUUUGUGCUCCUUAUUGUACACUUUAUUUUUAUGAUAACGCAUUGCUCGUUCGUGGCCCAGGUAUGCAACCACUCCCAUUCUGGUCAUUCUCUAUGUAUGUUUUGAUUCCCAUAUGUGCAUGAUCGAUUUGAGUAUCCAUUGAUUUUCUUAUUGAUUGUCAUGUCAGCUUCAUUUUAUUAGUAGAGACCCGACUUUAGGGACUUAGAGGGGGUGCUACGGUCUUUAUUGUACUUUUCUGAUAAGUAACCUGAUCUUCGAGUCCGAUUCGAUUUUUCGUAGACCACCUUUUCCGAAAUAAGGAGUCACACUUAGAGUUUUCUUUUUUAUUUUAUUUACCCUUUAAAAAUAAAACAAAAAUAAAUGGCGACUCCAAGUCAUUUUCUAAUAAAUAAAAUCAUUUUUCAAAUCAAAUUCGAGCUCGCCAUCAAGUGGGAAACGCAUGAGCCGAAAUGCAGGGUCCACAAUCAUUUAUUGUUUUUUUUUUUUUUACAUUUUUUUAAUUCUAAUUUUUAAGUUUAUUAAGAACAAAAUAAGUUUGAUAAUUUUAUAAUAAAAAUGAUGAUUUUUUCAUAUAUAUAUAUAUAUAUAUAUAUAUAUUAAUUUUAAAUUGAUAAAUUAUGUUUUUGUAUUAAAUUUAAGGAAGAUAAAAUGUUUAAUUUUUCAUUCAAAUUAUCUAAAAAUAAUAAGAAAAUAAUGGAGAAUGUUUAAUCAUUUUUUUUUUAAUUUUUAGAAUAAAAUAAUUUUUACAAAUUUUUAUGAUUUUUUUUUCUUUGCAUAGUAUUUUUUUUUUCCUUAAAGUGGGUGAUGUUAAUAUAUUUAAUAUGUUGAAUAUUAAUAAGGUAUAAAAAGUGAUUUUUAAGAUUAUUACUUUUAUUCUAAAUACAAGUAUAACAAAAAUAUGUUAUAAUUAUAAUAUAAAUACACUUACAUUACAAUAAAACCUAAUUAGGAAAAUUUUGAUUUUUUUUUUAUAAAAAAUGAUAAUUUUAUAUUAUCAAACCAUAUUUCACAACAUAUAUUACAAAUAAUUUAUGAAACCAAAUGAAAUACUAAUUUGAAUUAAUGAGACUCGUAGUUUUUAUUUUAUUUUAUAUAUAUAUAUAUAUAUAUAUAAAUUAUUAAAUAAUUUAAAUGCACUAUAUGAAUAUUAUUAAUAUAUUGAUACGAUGUGUUAAUAUCAAUAGGGUAUGAAUAAACAUUUUUUGAAUUAUUACUUUUGGAAUUAUUACUUUUGGAAUAAAAUAUAGGUACAAUAUAAAUACAUUAUACUUACAAUAUAAAUACACUAUCAUUACAAUAUAUUACAACAUAAUUUAAUUUAUUUUUGUUUAAUUUUUUUAUGUGCUAUAUUACUCAAUAAAUAAUUGUAAGUUAUUUCAUUUAAUAGGUGUGUGUUAGUCAAUUGAAUAUUUAUAUAAUAUUUGAUGAGUGCUUGUAAAAAAUAAUUAUUCAUUUUAUUAUGGUAACAAAAAUUUUAAUUGAAAUUUUAAUUAUAAAAUGAUAUAAUAACAUUAGGAUAUUGUUUUUAUUUAUGAUAUAUUGAAAUUUAUUUUUUUUACAAAGUUUUUUAAAAAUUCUCAAUUUUUUUGAAAAAAAAGAAGAAAAAAUAGUAAAUUUUUAAACAGUCAAUUGAUCAUUCAAAAGUAAACAACAAUUUUUUCGAUUUUGAGAAAUGUACUGUUGAUGACCUGUACUUAUCAUCAUAUAUAGACUCCAUAUCAUUGACAAUCUCAAAUUUAUUUACAAAUAAUAUAAAAAAUAUAUGUAAUGAUAAAAUUAUUUUCUAAUAAUUAUUAAGAUGAGUGAGCGUACUAAUAAUUAUUCCCUUCUGGGUAAUUCUCCCUUUUUAUUUUUAUUUAUUUUUCCUAUUUGGCUUCCUUCUUUGUCACAAGGGUGGGUGCCGAAUUCAAGUCACAAAUGUUUUUAUUACGCGGCUUGAGGUCGAAGGUCCCUUCAAGUCAUUAAUGGAACAUUUCCAAAACGUACAACUGGCUGCAGGUAGGUCAUGGAGAAGGGAAGUCUCUUUUUAUUAAUCAAUAAUUUAAAAUAAAAACAAAAAAAAACAAAAAGAGAAAUUUUCUAUUGGCAAAUCACACCUCUAAAUAAUUGCAUAUACGAAAAUAUAGAAAAAUAAAAUAAAAAUCCCAGUUACAUUAUUCCUUUUUACCGUACACAAAAAUAUUGACCAAUUAAAUCAAAGAAUAAAAAUAUUUUAAAGCAGUCAAAAUUUUUUAUUUCUAUUAUUUAAUUUGAAAGUUUUUUUAAGUCAAACAUGGAGACUAAAAAGGAAAUAAUUAUUGGAAAGUUAAAUGUCCAAAUCCUAAUAAGUCUUAUUAACUAUAUUUAAAAACAAUUUAGCAAAAUUUGAAUUAAAAAUAAAAUUUUAAGAUAUUUAUUUUAUAAAUUAUUAUGAGACAUGAUUAAAAAUAUAAAUAAUAUUUUAAGAAUUUUAAUAAUUUAUCUCAUUCAAAUUAUAAAAAGGCUAUAUAUUAAUGAUGGGUCCUUUUAUUGGUUUGGAGUUAACACCUCACCCACCAAGCUUUUAUUAAGGGAGGCUUGUCUCCUUUAACACGUAAGUAAUUCAACUUGUACAUUGUCUUUUUCUAUUUUUAAAUUAAAAAGGUAUGUAAAAUGAUUUAUUAAUUUUAAAUUUAUUUUUUUUUUUUUUUCGUUUUUUCGUUUUAUUUUUUAUUUAUUUUAUAUUUUUCUUCAAAUUUUCUAAAAACCAAACAUGACAUGAAAGUUAUAAGAAAAAAAGAUAACAAGUAGAAAGAAAUGCAAAAAAGAAAAGUAUAAUGGGAAUAAAAGGUUUUGACAUUUUUCUUCCUCAUGGUAAUAUUUUUGCUUUCCUUUUUAUUAAAAUAAUAUCCAAACACAACCUUUAAGGGGAAAAAAGGGGAGAGAACUAGGAUGCUCAUUCUGAGCCCAAAUAUGGAAACUUUAUGGGCUGACUGGCAGUAUAGUGGGCCCCAGACCAGCCCAAUUCACAGCCCAACUUCCAACUCUUUCUUCGCUUGUAAUCAAAGAAAGAUGAAAAAACAAGCGAAAGCAUCACCUCACCUUCCCCACCAUCUCUGAAAAUGCAAUCGCCAAAACUGAAAACUCCUCUUUAAAUCACAUCCCAUCUCCCUCUCCCUCUCCAACACACAUUCAAGCUGUGAUCUCCUCUUCACUUCCCCAAAAAUGGAGGCAGAACGGAGCUUUCUGUUGAUAAUGGCAGUUGCAGCAAUGGUGGUGACAGUGGGCGGACAAGGGUCAGGGACGAAGCCAUUGGUGAAGGUGUUGAAGGGUGGACUCAAGGUGUGUGACAAAGGGUGGGAGUGCAAAGGGUGGUCCAAGUAUUGCUGUAACCAGACCGUUUCCGAUUUCUUCCAGACCUACCAGUUUGAGAACCUCUUCGCAAAGCGUAAUACGCCUGUGGCACACGCGGUUGGCUUCUGGGACUACCGCUCUUUCAUCACCGCCGCCGCCGUUUACCAGCCUCACGGAUUUGGCACCGCCGGCGGGAAGCUCAUGCAGAUGAAGGAGGUGGCAGCUUUUCUAGGCCACGUCGGCAGCAAGACCACUUGUAAGCCCAUUCCUUCCUAUUAUUUUUUAUUUUCCUUAUUUUGAUGUUUGGUUGCAGUGAAAAUGCAGGAAAGAAAAAAAGAUUGAAUGGGUUUAGAAUGGAAUUGAGGAUUUUAUUCGUAUGGGGGGUUGGGCUGAACUGGAUUAGGAGGUGUUUGAGGAGUUAACUAAAGGGUUUGAUUCAUGAAUCGGUUGAAAAUCAACCCCGAGAACUUAACCUCAUCAUCCUAUAGGCUUGAUUUGUGUUACGGGAAUUGAUUUAGUGGGUGUUGUUAUUUUAAUAAUUUAAGUUAGAAUUUAAAUUAAAUCGGUUUUAAGUUGUAUCAUUUUUUUUAUUGAUCGUUUAGUAAAAUUAAUUAAAAAUUUAUUUUAAGUUAUUAAAUUGAUAUAUUUAUUUCUUUAAUUAUAAUUAUUGUUUAUCAUUAUUAUUUUUAAACUAAUAUUUAUUUUCAUUAAUUUUAAAGAAUAAAUCUUUUUAUUAAAUAUCCAAAUCUAAAGUAUUAUAAAUGUAUAAGAUAAUUUUAAAAUAUUUAGUAUAAAAAAUAAAUCAUAUAUAUUUGAAGUUAUGGUUGUUAAAUAUGAAAAAAAAAGGCAAUAAAAAUUUAAAUUAAAAAUAAAUAAAUAAUUUUAAUUUAAUAUUUAAAAUUAUUUUUAGUUUUAAAUUAUGAGAUUAAAUUAUUUUACCAAACAUAUCCGAUCUACUUAAAUUAGGUAAUUAAGUCAAGUGGAUUUAUCAAACGCCCAUUUAAUCCAUUUAGAAUGAAUUUGUCGAUUUUAGUUUCAUUACAACAUUCUGCUUGGUUGCUGAGAAAAGGCAGGAAAAGUAUAUGAGAAAAAAAAAUCUCUGAAUCAAAUAAGCCCAGUCAAUAAGGUUAAUUCUUCAUUUCUAUUCAGCAUCCAAUAUAUAUAUAUAUGUCAUAAAACAUAUGAAUUAAUCUGCUUCUUGGUUAUCUUAAUCAUUGGUUUCUGUCAUUCUUUGAUUUGUUUGCUCUUUAAGGUAGAAGAGGUAACAAUGGCAAUGGUGAUGAUAUUUUCAGGUGGCUAUGGAGUGGCGACAGGGGGCCCAUUGGCCUGGGGACUAUGCUACAACAAGGAAAUGAGCCCCAGCAAAUCUUACUGUGAUGAUGACUACAAAUACACCUAUCCCUGUACCCCUGGAGUCGAAUACUUUGGCCGAGGCGCCUUGCCGAUCUACUGGUAUGCUUGUCAUCAAAUCUUCCUCCCAUUUCGUCUUUGGGUUUUCCUCUGGUAUCUCUGGUUUUAUCUAGGAAAGUGUUUUUGAAAACAGUUUCUACAAACAGCUUUUAAAAAUUGUUCUUUGUUUGUGAGAGAACAUAAAACUGUUUUAAAAAACACUUACCAAAGAGGCCUAUAUGGCCUGAAGUCAUCUUCCUUUUCCUUUGAUUGUUUUGCUGUUCUUGGUCUUCAAAGGAACUACAACUACGGAGAAGCUGGGGAAGCCCUGAAGGUGGAUCUGCUGAACCAUCCAGAAUACAUAGAACAGAACGCCACCCUAGCCUUCCAGGCUGCGAUUUGGAGGUGGAUGACCCCAGUGAAGAAGCAGCAGCCCUCGGCCCACGACGUCUUUGUAGGGACCUGGAAGCCCACCAAGAACGACACUCUGGCCAAGCGGAUUCCUGGGUUCGGCGCCACAAUGAACGUUCUGUAUGGCGAUUCUGUCUGCGGCCAGGGUGACGUCGAUUCCAUGAACAACAUCGUCUCCCACUACCAGUACUACCUUGACCUGAUGGGUGUCGGCCGUGAGGAAGCAGGGCCUCAUGAGGUUCUCACCUGCGCCGAGCAGGAGGCUUUCAACCCGUCAUCUUCUUCAUCUUCUUCUUCAUCUUCUUGAGCUCGAUCUUUGCGAUGGUAUUAUGAUAGUAAAAAUGCCCGUGUUCUUUGGUAUUCUAUUUUGUUUGUUAUGUACGUGAGAAAGCACAUAUUCGAGUCCAUAUGUAUGUAUAAUCUUCUUCUCUGAUUUCUCUUCAAUGAUCAGGAUUGCUUUGAGCACUUCACAAUUCUAAUUCGUUAUUUCUUGAUGCCAUUUUCACGAUCAUAAAUCUAUAUAAAUGUCUCUUAAUCCAAAAAUUUGAAAGCUUAGAUGGGCUUGAGCCCAUUUUGGGAGCCCAAUUAGUUGUCCAAUCUCAAAUCACAUAGGGGAAGCCUAAAAGUAAACAUUUGAUUCCUGGACUAAUGCUCUUAAUCUAACAGAUAAAGUCAAAAACGCCCAUCAUAUCUGAUUUACUUAAAAAAUAUAUUAAAAAUGUAACUUCAAUUUUGAAUCUUUGAUCACCUCCAUUCUUCCAUUUUUAAAUCAACUAGAAUCUUCUUCUCAAAAUGACCAUAACACCCUUUCAAUUUCUUGAUUGAGAGUAACCUUAGGCGAAAGUUUUAAGGAAGGGAUUUUGUUUCUUUCCCUUAAGAAAACCUUAUCAUUAAAUAUAAUACACAAAUAUUUUUUCUUUUUCAUUUUUUUAGAAAGGUUAUAUUAAAUCACAUGCCAUUUAUUAUUAUAAAGUAAUGUGUAGGUUUGUCCUUUGCUGAAUUAGUUGGCAAAAAUUUUAAUUAUUUUUUUUUUCAUUUAUUUCUUCUAUUUUCCCUUUUAUUUAAUUUUUUUAUUUCCCAUUUUCCCCAAAAUUUCUAAAGGAAUGCUUGAGACUCACGGCUUCCAAUAUAUUCUACUUUUUAUAUAUAAAUUCAUUUAUUAAGAAUCAAAUGCUUCCCAAAGUACUCCGUUUUUUUAUUUAUAUUUUUAUCCAUAUUUUAAUUCAUCUCUAAAUUCUUCUUAAAACAAUAUCAAUCAAAUAGGUUUUUUCUGCUAAUUUUUUUUUAUAAACAAAAGAAAAAAUUUAUAUAAUAAACACAUGGAUAUAUCAUACUCAUCCACUACAUAAAAUAUCAUGUAAAUGUAUAUGUGAUUGUCAUUCUUUUUUAAUCAAAUUCCGAUGUAAAUUAGAGUAAUUUUUAUAAUUUAUUGUUAUUUAAUUAGCCUUUUAAAAAAUUGAAUUAGAAGAAUUAUCCAAAACAUAUUUAGAAUUACUUUAGGCUACAUUUGGUUGAUUCUUUUUUUGUCCUAUAUCAUGUUAUAUCCAUGAUUUUAAAUAUGACCAUUUAGGCUAUAAUUGAUUCAUGGAAUAAGAUAAGAUAGAAAAUGAUAUAUAUAUAUAUAUAUAUAUAUAUAUAUAUAUUAAAAUAUCAUAUUUUAUUUGAUAAAAAAUAUAUAUUUAAUAAUAUGAUUUUCAAUGAGAUAUGAUAUAUUUUGUAUGCAUAUUUUAUGGAUGUAAUAUUUUAAGAUAACAUAUUUAAUAAAAUAUAUUAUGUUAUAUUAUGUUUAUAUUUAAUUUAUAAAAUAAAUAAAAAAUAGUAUGAAAUAUAUUUUAUUUUUAAUAUUUAAAAUAAAUUUUAUAUCAUAUUCAAAUAUUUUGUAUUUUAAAAAAUAAAACAUUUCUUAUAUUUAACAAUAUUCAUGACCAAAAUAUUUAAACUUUAUAAAUAAUUUUUUUAAUGUUAUCUUAUAAUAUAUAAAAAUAAAUUAUAUAUCAAAUAUAAAUAUUAUUUUAUUUUAAAAAUAUUUUUUUUUAGUUUUUUUAUUUUUAACCAUAAAUUUAAUCUACAAUAAAAAAAAUUUAUUUUGUAAAAUGAAUAUAUAAAAAAAAAAUAAAAAAUAAAUUUAUGAUAUGCUAAUAUGAGAUUACUAUACUGUUAAAAAAAGAGAGUGGAUAACAUAUUUCAACAUAUGACAUUAUAUAUGAUGAGUAAUUAAAUAAUAUAAUUACGAUGUAAUAUCUCUUUUUUUAUCAUAUAUCAUUUAGGUAAUCAAAUAUGACAUAAUUAGUAGUUUAAUAAUAUUAUUUCCUUUUAUGUGAAAAUAGAAACCUAAUCAUUUUAUAGUCUUUUUUGUGUAUAAGUAUUCUGUAUCAGGCUGAAGUCUGGCGAUUUCUGGAAAGUUUGUUGUGGAAAUGUAUUUUAUUCUGCCUUCUACGGUAAUAAUCCAAGCGUCCAAACAGCCGAAAUGGACCGCAAAAGCUGUAACCAGAGCUAGUGUGGUUACAGUCAAUCCCCACCGUCGAUUCUUGCGGCAGUGGGUCCCAUUUGAUGUAAAAUUUAAUCGUGGAUUUAUUUUAUCACAGAUUGAGAACAUUUUGGUCAUUUCCAUAUUCAACAUGCUCAACAUAUAUAUAAAACUAUAAGUGGAGGGUGACCACGUGGCAACUCUCUCCACGUUGAUUAUAAAUACUCGCAAUUCACGAGAGUUGCCAUAUUCACAACCGAGGAGAGGUAGAUAGUGAGGGUUUAGAGAAGAUGGUGGUGGAGCGCGACAUAGAUGAUCUACCGAAGAACGCAGCGAACUACACGGCCUUGACUCCGCUGUGGUUUCUGGAGAGAGCAGCUGUGGUGCAUCCCAACAGGAAGUCAGUGAUCCAUGGAUCUUUGCAGUACACGUGGCUCCAGACUUAUCAGCGGUGCCGCCGAUUGGCUUCCGCUCUUUCUAAGUAUUCCAUCGGCGCCGGCAGUACGGUACUUCGGUUUCUCACAUCUCUAAAAUUUUCAUUCUUCUGCUUGGUAGAUGAGAAAAUGAAAGAAAAGAGAAGAAAAUAUGAAAAUCUUUUGUUGGUUGCUGUCUUGAAAGCGGGGUGUUUUUCUCCCUUUCUUAAAAAGGAAGGGUUAGAUUCACAGUAUGGGAUUAUCUUAUCCUUUUAACCAAAUAAUAUAUAUUUUUUCUUUCCCUCUGAAAAUAGGCGGUGAAUUUAAUUGAUUCGUUUAUUUAAUUACCACGUUAAUUAAAUCUUGUGCUGAUUGAAUAUGAAUCCAGUUCGUUGGCUUGAAUUUAGACCAUUUUUUUUUUUUUUUGGUUGUAGAUCUGAUUUUUUUAUUCUGUUUUUUGAAAUAUAGAAGUAAAAGUAAUUUUUAAUCACUUGUGUCAAAAUCAACAUGAUUGUUGUGGUUCUGAAUCAUUUAGUCUCAGGUGUUAUUUAUUCAAAAGUUGUGGAAAGUCUUAAAAAAGUUUAUUGACAUUUUGAUUUUGAAUUUUCAUUAUUACUUUUUCCUUUUAAGAGUUGUUUAUUCUAGUUUCAGACAAGAGGUUAUGUUAUCAUGCUCAGUAUCAUUAUUCCUACUAUUGUCGCUCUAUUUUGGGUUAUUUGAUUAAAAGGGUUUUUAAAAACAUCUUUAUAAAUACUGGAAAUGAUAAAGAAUAUUUACAUAAAAAAAAAUGGUUUACUUUAAAAAAAACAUGAAAAUAGUUAGAUUCACAAUUUAGGGAUUAAUUGAUUCAUUUUAGUAAAAUAUUUCUUAUAUUUUAGAAAUUGUUUCAGGAUAUACGAAAUUUUGGAGCAUGAGUUUUGAGUAUGUUUAUAUAUUUUCCUUUUCGAUUUAAAUAAUAUUUAAUUUUUUUAAGGGCAUGUUUGCUUAAGGAAAUCAUUAGGACCAUCUUAACUUGAUUUUAGGCAUCAAAACACAAGAUGGGUCCCACAACCCAGUUGAUAUUUAUACUAAAAUUUAAAUGGAAAAUGGAAAUUAUGGAACAAAAUUUUAAGAUAAUAACAAAAAAAUUUAAAAUAAAUUUAUAUAUUUAAAAUAUAAGAAAUACAAGAUAUAAUUGUAUUUUAAUUUUGGGGGGUUAGUUUAAGUUUUCUGCAGGUUUUCCCUUUAGAUUGAAAAACCGUAAAUUGGGUAUGUUGGAGUAUAAAAAAGAUCACCCAAUCUCGUCCAAAUGUCGGGGUUGAGUUUAGAUUAGUUCACACUAACCCACCUAAGUUGUAAGGUUAGGUGUUGUUUCUUUUUUUUAACUUUUUGCUAAAAGUGACUUGGUUUUGUUGAACUACCAAUUUUCCUAAAAACUGAAGGAUUUUGGCCCAAUAUGCAUAUUGACACCUUCCCUUAUGUGCAGCCCAUACCCACAUGUGGAGAGACAUAGAGAGAAAGGGGAAGAGAGACAAACAAUUGCAAAUAACCUUGUUUGGGUUUCCAAACAUGUAAAUGGGGAAACAAAUAUACAAAUUGCGAAAAGGCAACUCGAACGCAUAACCUCUCACAAAACCAAGUUCUGAUAUCAUGUUGAACUACUAAUUUUUUUAAAAACCUAAAAUACUUUUGUUUUUUUUACUUAUUUCUUAAAUUUUUGACUGAGUAGAAAAAACCAAAAUAUUUAAUUUUCUUUUUAAUGCUAAAAGUAACCUAUUAGUUUUUCUUUACUAGUUAAUACUUAAUAAAAAUAAAAUAUCCAAAAAAACAUAUAACUUAAUAUUUAAUACUAUUAAAUACUAUUUUAUCUUAAGUUUGAUUUAGAAUAAAGUAAGAAAACAAGUACCACCCUAGUUUAAUCCACUUAUCAUACAAUUAUUCAAAAAUAUUUAGCACUUUAUCUACUUAUUUUUAUUUUUUUCAAUGGAAAAACCAAUAAAAAUAUUAAUUAUAAAUACACAAAAUAAAUAAUACAUAUGUUUAUUUUUUUUAUGAAAGGGAAAACUAAUAAAUUAGCAAAUCCAAAAGACGGUGAUGGAGAUAAUAUUUAUAUAUAAAUAAUAACUAUUUUAUACAAAUAAUAGCUAUUAAUAAGCUUUGUGUUAUGGUUAUAAUAAUUUUGUUAUUCUUGACAAAUUAUAUUACAAAAAAUAGUUAUAAUCAUGGUAUAAUAUAUUAUUUUUUUAUUCCCAUUAUAAGAAGUUGGAUUAUUCUUUAAUAAGUUUUUCCUCAACUAUGAAGAGAUUAUAAUCAUUUUUGCUCUCUGCCUGUAAAAAUGUUAGUACUUUUAUUAUUUGCUUAUUAAAAUAGCCAAAGGGCAAUAAGUUGUCUUCAUCUCACUCUAUGUCCAAAUUCACUGGCAAUAUUAUUACAAGCAUAAGAGCAAGAGUAAUAAGGCUGCAUUUUAGAAAAAAAAUUGCUGAAGAUUUUUACCUGGCUUGUUUGGAUAAUUUAGCGAACAGAUGGUUCUGCUUGUUUCCCUCCCAAAUUCCAUAUUCUCUUCGGAUUUGGCAUCAUUUAGGGCUUAUAAUCCAUUUCAGUUUCUUGAGUUACUUCCUGAGUUAGUUUCCCUUUGGGAAAUUAUUCUCAUUGCUUGGUUGUCUGGACUGCUUGAAACUUCUUGUUCACCUGACUCAUGAAAUCAAAGAGUAACGCAAUUGCCUUUGUCAUUGUGUGUGUACUUUGAUUUUGGGAUCCUCAUCCCUGCUCCUUUCAUCGUAUUCAUCAUUGUAAAAAGCAUGGAAUUUUCUAACAUUGUUCCACUGGACCUCAUGAGGUUUUAUAAUGAUGGCCAGAAUUAUGAAUCAUUGAUCAUUCUGUUUUCCCUUCAUCCUAACUUUGUAUCUGAUAAAUUGCCUCUAUGUUGGAUUGGAGCUAGUUGGUGGCUGAAUCUUAGUGUUCUGAUUAUACUUCUAGGUAGCAAUAAUUGCACCAAACAUCCCUGCCAUGUAUGAAGCUCAUUUUGGGGUUCCCAUGUCUGGAGCGGUGGUGAACUGUGUUAACAUUCGUCUAAAUGCACCGACAAUUGCUUUCCUUCUUGAGCAUUCAUCGGCAGCAGUUGUAAUGGUGGAUCAAGAGUUUUUCCCAUUAGCAGAGGAAGCUUUGAAAAUCUGGUCAGGGAAAAGCAAAAAUGAUUUUAAGCCUCCCCUUCUGAUCGUCAUAGCUGAUGAAAGCUGCGAUCCUAAAGGACUAGAAUAUGCUUUGAGGAAAGGGGUCAUUGAAUAUGAGCAGUUCCUGGAAACAGGAGACCCUGAAUUUGCAUGGAAACCACCACAGGAUGAGUGGCAGAGUAUUGCUUUAGGGUAUACUUCUGGAACUACAGCCAGCCCUAAGGGGGUAGUGUUGCAUCAUAGGGGAGCAUAUGUCAUGGCCCUCAGUGGUGCUCUUGUAUGGGGGAUGAAUGAAGGAGCUGUGUACCUAUGGACACUUCCAAUGUUUCAUUGUAAUGGCUGGUGUUUCACUUGGACACUUGCUGCUCUUUGUGGGACUAACAUAUGCCUUCGUCAGGUACUUCUGAAUCCUUUGUUUUUGCCUCAAUAUGUUGGAGAAUUCAUGCUUAUCUUAAUAAUGUCUUCAAUAUGUUGAAAUGCUUUGCCAAACACUACAAGGCAGUUUGAAAACAGUUGCAGGCCGCCAAAAGGGGUUUGCUAAUGUGAUCAUGCUCCUCUGCUUUGUACAUUUUUGUAGGUUGCAACCAAGGCAAUUUAUCAAGCCAUAGCCAACGAUGGUGUAACCCACCUCUGUGCUGCACCAGUGGUCCUCAACAGCAUAGUCAAUGCCCCCAAAAGUGAAACCAUCCUUCCCCUUCCACGCGUGGUCCAUGUAAUGACAGCUGGGGCUGCUCCGCCCCCUUCUGUUCUCUUUGCCAUGUCCCAACAAGGCUUUCGUGUCACCCAUACCUACGGACUCUCAGAAACCUACGGCCCCUCCACAGUAUGUGCAUGGAAGCCUGAAUGGGAUGAACUACCACCUGAAACUCAAGCCCGUCUCAAUGCACGCCAAGGUGUCCGAUACAUCGGCUUGGAGGGCCUAGAUGUGGUCAGCACCACAGACAUGAAGCCUGUCCCUGCCGAUGGAACCACCAUUGGUGAGAUUGUGAUGCGGGGUAAUACUGUGAUGAAGGGCUACUUAAAGAACCCGAAAGCCAACGAGGAAACUUUUGCAAAUGGAUGGUUCCAUUCAGGUGAUCUUGGCGUGAAGCAUCCAGAUGGGUACAUACAACUUAAGGACCGAUCAAAAGACAUCAUCAUCUCUGGAGGCGAAAACAUAAGCAGUGUGGAGAUUGAAAAUGCUGUAUACCUGCACCCUGCAGUGCUAGAGGCAUCAGUGGUGGCAAGGCCAGAUGACCGCUGGGGGGAAUCGCCUUGUGCUUUCGUGACGUUGAAGCCAGGGGUUGAUAGGUCCGAUGAAAGACGCCUGGCAGAAGAUAUUAUGAAGUUCUGCCGGUCCAGGUUGCCGGCUUACUGGAUUCCAAAAUCUGUGGUGUUUGGACCAUUGCCCAAGACAGCCACUGGGAAGAUACAGAAGCAUCUGCUGAGGGCCAGGGCGAAGGAGAUGGGAACCCUAAAGAAGAGCAAGCUGUAGUAAUCUCUCAGGGUAGUCCAUGAAUGAAUAAAAAGAGGGAUCUUCUUGUUGCCGGUUAGUCUCCCUCGUACUCUGUUAAUUCAUUCAGUUUGGGCUAUAGGAUUUGUGGUUGGGCUACUAAUAUGGUUAUGCAUUUGAAGAAAAAUACUUCUCUCAUAUUCACCUUCCCCAAUUGGGACUAUCAUGUACUGUUACUUAUUUAGGAACUCGUUUGGACGACUGAGCCAAAGACCGGAUCAAAAAGCCCACCAUUAAUGAUCAACAUUUCAAUAUUCUAUUUAUAAAGUCAAUUUCAAAAUACAUAUCGAUGUGAUAUUUACAUGUGAAUAUUCAAUUAACGGAAAAUUCUGAUGAAUGUUAUCCCUAUCACAUACAGAUCAGGUUGGUCUGAAAUCUUGGACCGAUUUGAUGUGUUGAUGGUAUGGGCCAUGUCGUAGCCCAUUGACAUCUCUGUCCAAGCCCAGUAGCCAGGCCUUGAGAUUUCAAAGGUCAGAAUAGAAAUGGGCCUUGUGGUGGACCCAUCUAUGGUAGUUCCUAAUGUUAUGCUAACCAAAAUUUGGUGGAGUGGGAUAAGACUUAAGAGCAAUGGAGCUCCUUCAAUCCAUGUCUUUUAGAUUCUCUAUUUCAUUUGUUCUUCCUUUAAGGCUUGUUUGGUAUACAAGAAAUAAGAAUAAAAGUAGGAUGAAAACAAGGAUGAAUCAUAAUCUAAUGUAUAAUAAAGUAAUCAAAAUCUUAGUAUGAGUGUAUUUGGUUUUCAUGACAAUGAUUUUCUAUUUUCAUUCCAAAAAAAAAGAAAGAAAGAAAAAAGAAUAAAUUAAUGAAUGAGAAAUGAAAUUUAGAGUUUGUUUGAGCUUUGUUUUUAAAAAACAAUUUUUUUAUUUAUUUCUAUAAAUAAAAAAUUGUUUUUCAAAUUCAAAAACACAUUUGGUUUUUUUUUUUUGAUAAAAAAUAGUUUUUUGAAAACAUAUUUUAAUUAUUUUCAUUUGUUUUAUAAAAUAAUUCUAUAAAUAUGGAAAAUAAUUUAAAAUAAAGUAUUACAAGUAAAAACUAUUUUUAAAAAGCAUAAAAUAUAGGUUUAGAAUAUUUCAAGUUUUCAAACAGACUUUUAUACUAAUAAACAUUCAAAAACUGUUUUUUAAAAACUAUUUUUCAGAAACUGUUUUAAAAAUGGAAAAUGUUUCCAACAAGUGAAAGAUUUUCAUUCUCAUUCUUCAUUACAUUACAUGAUUUCAAACAUCAUUUUUAUCAUAGCAAUAGAGGACUUCAUUUGAAGAAGAUUCAAAUGAUGCAAUAGGAUUACAAACCAAAAAAAAAAAAAAAAAUUAGGGACCUGGAAGCCCACCAAGAAUGACACUCGAGCCAAGCGGAUUCCUGGGUUCGGCGCCACAAUGAACGUUCUCUAUGGCGAUUCUGUCUGCGGCCAGGGUGACGUCGAUUCCAUGAACAACAUCGUCUCCCGUUACCAGUACUACCUUGACCUGAUGGGUGUCGGCCGUGAGGAAGCAGGGCCUCAUGAGGUUCUUACCUGCGCCGAGCAGGAGGCUUUCAACCCGUCAUCUUCUUCAUCUUCUUGAGCUGUAAAAAUGCCCGUGUUCUUUGGUAUUCUAUUUUGUUUGUUAUGUACGUGAGAAAGCACAUAUUCGAGUCCAUAUGUAUGUAUAAUCUUCUUCUCUGAUUUCUCUGCAAUGAUCAGGAUUGCUUUUGAGGACUUCACAAUUCUAAUUCGUUAUUUCUUGAUGCCAUUUUCACGACCAG
rnacentral:lncRNA from 1 species